GAUGAACGCUGGCGGCGUGCCUAAUACAUGCAAGUCGAGCGAACGGACGAGAAGCUUGCUUCUCUGAUGUUAGCGGCGGACGGGUGAGUAACACGUGGAUAACCUACCUAUAAGACUGGGAUAACUUCGGGAAACCGGAGCUAAUACCGGAUGAUAUUUUGAACCGCAUGGUUCAAAAGUGAAAGACGGUCUUGCUGUCACUUAUAGAUGGAUCCGCGCUGCAUUAGCUAGUUGGUAAGGUAACGGCUUACCAAGGCAACGAUGCAUAGCCGACCUGAGAGGGUGAUCGGCCACACGGGAACUGAGACACGGUCCAGACUCCUACGGGAGGCAGCAGUAGGGAAUCUUCCGCAAUGGGCGAAAGCCUGACGGAGCAACGCCGCGUGAGUGAUGAAGGUCUUCGGAUCGUAAAACUCUGUUAUUAGGGAAGAACAUAUGUGUAAGUAACUGUGCACAGCUUGACGGUACCUAAUCAGAAAGCCACGGCUAACUACGUG
rnacentral:rRNA from 1 species